ACCCUCUUCCCUUUCCCAUCGGAUCUGAUUGCUGGUCUUGGUGGUCGUAACGGAGGGAAAGUAACUGUGAACCUUGCCCAUACACUGCAUUGCAGUGUGGCAUAGCAUGUGGGCUUGCUUCAAACAUCU